GAUGAACGCUGGCGGCGUGCCUAAUACAUGCAAGUCGAGCGAACAGACGAGGAGCUUGCUCCUCUGACGUUAGCGGCGGACGGGUGAGUAACACGUGGAUCACCUACCUAUAAGACUGGGAUAACUUCGGGAAACCGGAGCUAAUACCGGAUAAUAUAUUCAACCGCAUGGUUCAAUAGUGAAUGACGGUUUUCCUGUCACUUUUAGAUGGUUCCGCGCCGCAUUAGCUAGUUGGUAAGGUAACGGCUUACCAAGGCGACGAUGCGUAGCCGACCUGAGAGGGUGAUCGGCCACACUGGAACUGAGACACGGUCCAGACUCCUACGGGAGGCAGCAGUAGGGAAUCUUCCGCAAUGGGCGAAAGCCUGACGGAGCAACGCCGCGUGAGUGAUGAAGGUCUUCGGAUCGUAAAACUCUGUUAUUAGGGAAGAACAAAUGUGUAAGUAACUAUGCACGUCUUGACGGUACCUAAACAGAAAGCAACGGCUAACUACGUG
rnacentral:rRNA from 1 species